rnacentral:tRNA from 1 species
AAAAAUUUAGUUAAACCCAUAACAUUAGCUUGUCAAGCUAAAAUUAUUAGUCAUAAUAAUUUUUA